GAGGGAGCUUGCUCCUGGAUUCAGCGGCGGACGGGUGAGUAAUGCCUAGGAAUCUGCCUGGUAGUGGGGGAUAACGUUCCGAAAGGAACGCUAAUACCGCGUACGUCCUACGGGAGAAAGCAGGGGACCUUCGGGCCUUGCGCUAUCAGAUGAGCCUAGGUCGGAUUAGCUAGUUGGUGAGGUAAUGGCUCACCAAGGCGACGAUCCGUAACUGGUCUGAGAGGAUGAUCAGUCACACUGGAACUGAGACACGGUCCAGACUCCUACGGGAGGCAGCAGUGGGGAAUAUUGGACAAUGGGCGAAAGCCUGAUCCAGCCAUGCCGCGUGUGUGAAGAAGGUCUUCGGAUUGUAAAGCACUUUAAGUUGGGAGGAAGGGCUGUAGGCUAAUAUCCUGCGGUUUUGACGUUACCAACAGAAUAAGCACCGGCUAACUUCGUGCCAGCAGCCGCGGUAAUACGAAGGGUGCAAGCGUUAAUCGGAAUUACUGGGCGUAAAGCGCGCGUAGGUGGUUCGUUAAGUUGGAUGUGAAAGCCCCGGGCUCAACCUGGGAACUGCAUCCAAAACUGGCGAGCUAGAGUACGGUAGAGGGUAGUGGAAUUUCCUGUGUAGCGGUGAAAUGCGUAGAUAUAGGAAGGAACACCAGUGGCGAAGGCGACUACCUGGACUGAUACUGACACUGAGGUGCGAAAGCGUGGGGAGCAAACAGGAUUAGAUACCCUGGUAGUCCACGCCGUAAACGAUGUCAACUAGCCGUUGGAAUCCUUGAGAUUUUAGUGGCGCAGCU
rnacentral:rRNA from 1 species